AUUCACUCCUACCCGCUUUAGGGUUAGUAGAUAGGCUGUUCUCUUAAGCACUGAAUCCAAGUCUUGAACAAGGGGCCCCACCCUCUCAUUGGCCCGAGAUGGAUUAAGUUUAUAGGUUGAACCUUAAACCAAUUGUUCAAUAGUGGAUUAGUGGGACUUAAGGAGCAAGAUGUAAUCUUGGGGGUAAAACGGUAUUUUGACCCAGUCAAGGUUACGAGCAACCUG
rnacentral:lncRNA from 1 species